GACCGUAGUGUCAGUUGGUAGAGCAUUCGACUCUUAUCUCCUUCAGAGUUCCUCCAGUGACCUUCAUGGUUAAACGGUAUCGAAUUGUCGUGGGUUCGAGCCCCACGUUGGGCG